UACGUAGGGUGCAAGCGUUGUCCGGAAUUAUUGGGCGUAAAGAGCUUGUAGGCGGUCUGUCGCGUCUGCUGUGAAAAUCCGGGGCUCAACCCCGGACUUGCAGUGGGUACGGGCAGACUAGAGUGUGGUAGGGGAGACUGGAAUUCCUGGUGUAGCGGUGAAAUGCGCAGAUAUCAGGAGGAACACCGAUGGCGAAGGCAGGUCUCUGGGCCACUACCGACGCUGAGAAGCGAAAGCAUGGGGAGCGAACAGG
rnacentral:rRNA from 1 species